GGGGAAUUUUGGACAAUGGGCGAAAGCCUGAUCCAGCCAUGCCGCGUGCGGGAAGAAGGCCUUCGGGUUGUAAACCGCUUUUGGCAGGAACGAAACGGCGCGGGCGAAUACCUCGUGCUAAUGACGGUACCUGCAGAAUAAGCACCGGCUAACUACGUGCCAGCAGCCGCGGUAAUACGUAGGGUGCAAGCGUUAAUCGGAAUUACUGGGCGUAAAGCGUACGCAGGCGGCUGUGCAAGACAGGUGUGAAAUCCCCGGGCCCAACCUGGGAACUGCAUUUGUGACUGCACGGCUAGAGUCCGUAAGAGGGGGGUGGAAUUCCACGUGUAGCAGUGAAAUGCGUAGAGAUGUGGAGGAACACCGAUGGCGAAGGCAGCCCCCUGGGAUGAGACUGACGCUCAUGUACGAAAGCGUGGGGAGCAAAC
rnacentral:rRNA from 1 species